UCCCCUUUCUCUUCCGUUCUCUCUACCGGCUGUGAUUUGGAUAAGCGCGGCCAUGGGUUGGGCAAGGGAGAGCACUGAAUAACGCGGCAAGCUGCUCAAGCUCGUCAUGUACGGCGGAUAGCGGGUAGUGGCCGUGGCGACGGCGCUGGAGGUUGGUGGCGCGAAGCAGGCGGUGACGCAGCUGACAGAGGGCGCACUGGUUAACAGAUUUCCUGGACGAACUCGUGCAUCCUCAUCUUCCAAGCUGGUUGUACCAAAUCGAGUAGGAUGCUUGUAAGUGCAUAGUCUGGAGGCCAGCUCUGACUGAGGUGUGGGCCGCGCGUUCGAGCUACUGAUGUUGCGCCGGCACCAGCGAGGCCGCAUCUCGCGUCACUAAUCUGGAAAGGCGGAUGCUGGUCACCGGGCAGGUGACGGGUGCCGGGACAGAGAACUUUGGCGCUGCAUUGAAAGGCUUGUUGUUUCUUUUUCGUCCUAGCCUGAGGAAGAGCAAUAGAUUUCUCAUCCAAUGAGCAGUGAGGGGUCUCACAGAGUAUGGAGUACUGAUUCCUGAAUUUCCUGGACAAAAUCAUCCUACUGGGUUUAAGCUUGUUGGUGCCGGGUCAUCAAUGCCAGGGCGGGGUAUGGCAGAAAAUAAUGGUUGGCUGAUGGAGAAUGGUUGAAUCUGAGGCAAAUGAUAAAGGGGGCAUUGUGUCUAUGGUCCUUAAGAGGUAUGGGGUAACAGAGGCAGAGUCAUAUGAUGAGAUCGCGCGAUAAAUAAAUAGCAGCAAAAUGUGAGCAGCGUGUGCAGGCGGCCUAUGAGUUGUUGCCCUCCUACCAAAUGUCUUAGAGACUCAUUAUCCAGGAAGAGUGAUGAUAGCAUAUAUUGGAACUAAUGCAGUACCCGAUUUGUCCGGUUUCAUGUCUCACUCCAGUAAGUUCUUCUAAUGUUCUCCUAUGAAACAUUUGUUCUUCUAGUGUCCCUAGA